AAAACCAUGGCCCUUUGGGUUGUAUUGGGACUCGUCUUCCGGCGUAUCCUCAAAGCCAUCGUGUCUACAAGCGGACGAGAUCCAUUAGGACAGAACGUUUGAGGACCCUAAACUCUCUCUG
rnacentral:misc_RNA from 1 species